rnacentral:lncRNA from 1 species
GUUUGAACCUAAAGGGUUUGGGGCCUCAAAGGACGGCUCGAGUAUCGAGCAUAAUUGGGUGAUGGUCUAAGGUUGGUUUGGGUAGAAGCAAGGAGUAAGAGCCCGGGAAAGAUUGGUCCUAUUCUAGAGAGAUUAGAAAACGAUCUAGCUUAGAGAGGGAAAGGGUUUAUGGAAUGGUUUGACGAAGUGAAUUGGGCUUCUUCA